GAAGAAGUGCAUAGAGCAGGGAAAACCCUCGUUCGCCCAUUCCGCUCCUCUCGCCCCCACCCGCCGUCUUCCCAUGGCCUCCGCCUCCGCCGCCGCCGCCGCCACCCGGGCGAACAGCCUCUCCCGCAUCUUCUCCUCCUCCUCGCCAACCGUCAAACUACCCAAGCGCAAUCCCAAGACCAAGCGCGCGCCGGCGCCGCCGCCGAAACCGUCCGCCGCCGAUGCUGACUCCAUCGCGGGACAGAAGCUCCCGGAGCCCCUCGGCGUACAUCCCGCCGCCAAAGCUGAGUCCGAUGCGGACCACAAGCUCCCGAAGCCCCUUGACGAUAUCCUCAUUGCCCUCAUCCGGCAGCGCAACCCUGAUAAGCUGGUCUCCGAGUUCGUCCAAGCGUCAACCGUGUCGUCGCGCUUCCGCGAGCGGCACCGCGUGUACGAGGUAGCGGUGAGCCGCCUCACUUCCUUCGGCCGCCAAGACGGCAUCGAGGCCAUCAUCGAAGCGCAGAAGCCCUUCCUCGAGACCUCAGACGAGGGAUUCGCCGCGCGCCUCAUCCGCCUCUACGGCCGUGCCUCCAUGCCAUCCCACGCUACCGCAACCUUCCAUGAACUUCCCGCGCAGCAUAAAUCCACCAUGACAUUCAACGCCCUUCUUGCAGCGUACGCCGAAGCCGGGGAUUUCGAUGGGCUCACUGCUGCAUUCCAGGAGAUCCCAGCCACCCACCCCUCGGUUGUUCCCAGCGUAUACUCUUACAACAUACUCAUCCGCUCAUUGUGCCAGAAGCCUGACCUCUCAGCUGCUCUUGAUGUUGUUCUUCUCAUGGAGAAGCACGGUGUUUCAGCUGACAUUAUUACUUUCAACACUCUGUUGAAUGGGUUUUGUAACAAUGGCCCCACGGAUGAAGCAGAGACAGUAUGGGAGAUGAUGAAGGAGAGGAAUUUGGAGCCAGAUGCAAAGUGCUACAAUGCCAAGCUGCGGGGUUUGGUUGCAGAAGGGAGGAUUGAUGAUGCAGCUGCUGUGCUUGAGGGAUUGGAGAAGGACGGGCCAAAACCCGAUACGGUGUCCUACAAUGAGUUGAUUCGAGGAUAUUGCAAAGCGGGGAGGUUACAGGAGGCCAAGAAGCUGUAUGAUGAUUUGGCAAAAAAUCACUGUGCCGCAAAUAAGGGAACAUAUGAGACUCUCGUGCCACACCUUCUGCAGGCUGGAGACCUGGAUUGUGCACUGAGGUACUGCUAUGAAAUGUUUAGUGGUAAAAGGAGCGGUAGAGUGGAGUGUGGUGUGCUGCAGGAUGUAGUGAAUGCAUUGGUAGAUGCAUCGAGGGUGGAGGAGGCUGGCAAGCUUGUUGAUAUCGGGCGGAAGAAACACGAAAGGGUUUGAGGAUGCGAGGUAGUGCAAAAGGCAGUGAAUUAAGAGCUGAAACUGAUGAGUAAGAAGCAAUAUCAGAAGAAAAGGAGUGUGAUGUGGAACACAAGACUGAAAAGUAAAAUUCAUUGGUCAGGCUUUGACUGAUGCAUGCCAAAUUUCACCAUGACUUGUUUUACUCAGUUUCUCUGUUUGCAUGAUAGAACAAGAAGUGCAAGUUAAAGUAGUGGUUUAACUAGUUUAAUAAGGUAUUGGUUUAGCUUGCCCUGUGAUUUAAUACUUAUUGAAAAUCUUUUUUUCCAUUUUAGAAGAGAUCCACAGGAAGUCUUUAUUCUUACCUGCAAUGUCUUGCUUGUGCUGAUUUUUCUUCUUGCAUAAGUGCAAGUUAAAGCAGUGGUUUAACUAGUUUAAUAAGGUAUUGGUUUAGCUUGCCCUGUGAUGUAAUACUUAUUGAAAAUCUUUUUUUCCAUUUUAGAAGAGAUCCACAGGAAGUCUUUAUUC
rnacentral:rRNA from 1 species